rnacentral:rRNA from 1 species
UACGGGGGGGGCAAGCGUUGUUCGGAAUUACUGGGCGUAAAGGGCGCGUAGGCGGUGCUCUAAGUCGGAUGUGAAAACUCUGGGCUCAACCCAGAGCCUGCAUCCGAAACUGGAGUGCUAGAGUUCUGGAGGGGGUAGCGGAAUUCCUGGUGUAGCGGUGAAAUGCGCAGAUAUCAGGAAGAACACCCGUGGCGAAGGCGGCUAUCUGGACAGAAACUGACGCUGAGGCGCGAAAGCUAGGGGAGCAAACAGG